rnacentral:rRNA from 1 species
GGUUAAGUUAAUAAGGGCGCACGGUGGAUGCCUUGGCACUAGGAGCCGACGAAGGACGUGACAAACGACGAUAUGCCUUGGGUAGCUGUAAGUAAGCGAUGAUCCAGGGAUUUCCGAAUGGGGGAACCCAACAGGUAGUACCUGUUACCCACAUCUGUUAAGGAUGUGAGGAGGAAGACGCAGUGAACUGAAACAUCUAAGUAGCUGCAGGAAGAGAAAGCAAAAGCGAUUGCCUUAGUAGCGGCGAGCGAAACGGCAGAAGGGCAAACCGAAGAGUUUACUCUUCGGGGUUGUAGGACUGCAAUGUGGACUCAAAGAUUAUAGAAGAAUGAUUUGGGAAGAUCAGCCAAAGAGAGUAAUAGCCUCGUAUUUAAAAUAGUCUUUGUACCUAGCAGUAUCCUGAGUACGGCGGGACACGUGAAAUCCCGUCGGAAUCUGGGAGGACCAUCUCCCAACCCUAAAUACUCCCUAGUGACCGAUAGUGAACCAGUACCGUGAGGGAAAGGUGAAAAGCACCCCGGGAGGGGAGUGAAAUAGAACCUGAAACCGUGUGC